rnacentral:rRNA from 1 species
GUGGGGAAUAUUGGACAAUGGGCGAAAGCCUGAUCCAGCCAUGCCGCGUGUGUGAAGAAGGUCUUCGGAUUGUAAAGCACUUUAAGUUGGGAGGAAGGGCAGUAAGUUAAUACCUUGCUGUUUUGACGUUACCGACAGAAUAAGCACCGGCUAACUUCGUGCCAGCAGCCGCGGUAAUACGAAGGGUGCAAGCGUUAAUCGGAAUUACUGGGCGUAAAGCGCGCGUAGGUGGUUUUGUAAGUUGGAGGUGAAAUCCCCGGGCUCAACCUGGGAACUGCCUCCAAAACUGCAUGACUAGAGUACGGUAGAGGAUAGUGGAAUUUCCUGUGUAGCGGUGAAAUGCGUAGAUAUAGGAAGGAACACCAGUGGCGAAGGCGACUACCUGGACUGAUACUGACACUGAGGUGCGAAAGCGUGGGGAGCAAACAGGAUUAGAAACCCUUGUAGUCC